rnacentral:rRNA from 1 species
GACGAACGCUGGCGGCGUGCUUAACACAUGCAAGUCGAGCGGUAAGGCCCUUUCGGGGGUACGACGAGCGGCGAACGGGUGAGUAACACGUGGGUGACCUGCCCUCAGCUCUGGGAUAAGCCUGGGAAACCGGGUCUAAUACUGGAUAUGACUCCAUGACGCAUGUUGUGGGGUGGAAAGCCUUGUGCGGCUGAGGAUGGGCCCGCGGCCUAUCAGCUUGUUGGUGGGGUGAGGCCUACCAAGGCGACGACUGGUAGCCGGCCUGAGAGGGCGACCGGCCACACUGGGACUGAGACACGGCCCAGACUCCUACGGGAGGCAGCAGUGGGGAAUCUUGCGCAAUGGGCGAAAGCCUGACGCAGCGACGCCGCGUGAGGGAUGACGGCCU